UACAGGGGGUGCAAGCGUUAUUCGGAAUUACUGGGCGUAAAGGGCUCGUAGGCGGCCAACUAAGUCAGACGUGAAAUCCCUCAGCUUAACUGGGGAACUGCGUCUGAUACUGGAUGGCUUGGAUUUGGGAGAGGGAUGCGGAAUUCCAGGUGUAGCGGUGAAAUGCGUAGAUAUCUGGAGGAACACCGGUGGCGAAGGCGGCAUCCUGGACCGGCAUUGACGCUGAGGAGCGAAAGCCAGGGGAGCAAACGGG
rnacentral:rRNA from 1 species